AGCAGCAAUCACUGUAAUCCACCUCAGAAAAACUCACCAGCUCUCCUGUCUCUUCACUGCUGCUGCUGCUUGCCCCGCUUGGGGGCUGCCUGGCUCAACUCCAGGGCCUGCCCUUCCAUGAAAUCACUCUUCGUUUCCGGAUCCAACCCUCGAGUUCCCACUACCAGAUGUAAGCAACCGCCAUAUCUUGCCCAGUUUCUGGCACGUGGCAGGAGGCCAUUAUGUGCCUGCUGGGUCAAGCUGAAGGGAAUGAGAACGAGUGCGAUUGAUUACCCAUGAAAACCAAGGAUGUGGGCUCUUGUCCUACGGUAUACUGAAGACUGGCUGAGACAUCCAGCCUUGUGGACGGAAUGAUGACUGAGUUCUUGGACUUUCCACUGGAGACAGACAGCCCUUAUUGGAAUAGUUGGACCAUAUCAUCCUCUGUGCUGCCCAGGUGAUGCUCCUAGAGAAGCUGCUGUCAAAUAAAAUAAGAAGGGGAAGAAAAAAGGGAAGGAGAGGGAGAAGGCCCAAGCAGCGAAAGGGGCUUUCUACAGACCCUGGCAGGAUUCCAGAGCGCCAAGUUUGCUUGCCUCUCACUCCACAACAGUCUCUGUCAUUGGAGUUGAAGCCCAAAGCGGAGACUUGUGACAAGUGGUGGAAGUAAAGGAUCUGAUUACCAGAUGAUGCUGGCACCGUGCUGAUCAAGGGGGAAAACUGAUGUCUCCAAGUCUGGACCUCAGUUAGUGAGGCUGUUCUGUAGUGAGGAAUCACACCACAGGAAAAACCGCACCAGCAGAACGAGACUGGCUAGAAAGCAGGCCAGAAACAC